GUGUCAUUCCUUUCACAGACUCCCAGCACUAAUUUCUGGCAUACAAGUUCAGGAAAGGUGGACCUGUGGUGGUAACUGCAUCUCAGUGUGCAAGGCACUGUUCCUUUUCCCAUUGGCUGUUCUCAGCCGGACAAGAAUGAAAUUGUACCAUAAAAUGAUGAAUGAAUUCCUGCUCAAGACAUUGCUUACCACCCCUGGAGAAGGAGAAGGUGGCUGGCAAUCCUACGGCAUGAAAACUGGACUGCCAUUUUAACAAAUAUGAACCACUCCCCUGUAUCAGAAGUGAUCUCUUGUCGCUUAUGGCUCGUGCAACCCGUCUGAAGGGAUGUUUGAAGGGUGAACAGACUGCUCUGGUCUCCCCACCUGGAUGCUACAAGCAAGAUGGAACUUACCUGCCCUGCUCUACUGGUGACACAUUGUUGCUCUGCAGCAGCUAAUGCCUGGAACGCAUAUCUAAUUUAGGAACCUUCUAUCUUUCUGGGCUUAUUCAAGGUGUACGAGGUCACAAAGCUCAGAAGUCAUCAGAGAAGUCAGAAAACCAUUAGCCUUUUGCUGUAAUUUAGUAGUAUUUCAUAUUGUCCUUCUAUUGUUUUGGAACUAAGAGCUUCGUCUUCAACUGAAAGCUCAUCUGGGUUAUUAAGACUAGUCCUUUAUCUAAUGGACCUACAGAAAAACAUCUUACUGCUAGCCAGACUGCCCACCCACGUCCUGAUUGCAAUGUGGAUUCUUGGGAGGAUCACUUGUGUGAAAUUCACUGUCCUGAUUAAUGAAUACCCUUUACAUAUAAAGAGCAGAAAUGAACUCAUAGCAGGAAACAGUACUUACAGUUUUCUAAGUAUGUUUUUAAAAAUACAUAAGAUUAAAACUGAAUUGAAAACUUCUAAUAUAAGACUAAUAUAAGGCUCCAAGAUUUAAUU